UGUUUCUUUGAAUCUCUAUAGUCUUCUAUGCUUCCACUGUGUGCUUCUGUUUCUACUGCAUCAUGUACCAAGCACACCAGUGCUUCUAUAUAUCUCUCUCUCCCCCUGUCUUUUUCUCUUUCUCUAUAUAGCCCGCAACUGUAAAAAACCAAUCUCUCCCUCUCUUUCUCUCUCUCUCCAUCGUUUUCUUCCUUUCUGCUCAGUACACACCUCGCUUUCUCUUUCUAUCUAUAUCCAUGUUUUUAUAAUCGGGUUCUCUUUCUUUAUUUGUUUCUUUCUUUCUCAGAUACAAAGACUAAACGAGAAAUUUUUAACAAACAUGGCGUUUCAUCAAAACCUUUCUCAAGAACUUCCUCUUCACCAUUUCUCUGCAGAGCAAACUCAACCACCACAAACCCAACAACAACAGCAACAGCAGCAAAAUAUACCUGAAAGCACCACCGCACCAAAUUGGCUUAACACUGCUCUCCUCCGUACCCAACAACCACAACCACCAUCAUCCCACUCCCACUUCACCAGUAAUAAUAAUUUUUUAAAUCUUCACACCACUACUUCUACCACCAACUCCGAUUCCACUGCUUCCCAGAAUCCUACCCAAUGGCUUUCCCGCUCCUCCUCCCUCCUCAACCGCAACCACAGCGAUGUCAUAGAUGAUGUUACUGUUGCAACGGCCGCUGACUCUAUCAUCGCAGGCAAUAUUUCCCACGAAUCAGCCGAUUUGAAAACCAACACCAAUAACAACGGUGAGACCAUGAAUAAUAAGAGUGAAGGAGGGAUGGUUGAGAGUGAUGGAGGCGGUAGCGGAGGUGGGGAGGGAGUGGUUAACUGGCAGAAUGCAAGAUACAAGGCGGAGAUACUGUCUCAUCCUUU
rnacentral:misc_RNA from 1 species